UCUCUCCCUUCCUUCACGUGUGCCCCCUCCCCCAUCUUUUUCUCCUCCUCUUUACCGUGCCCUACCUCUAGCCGUACCCUCCAGCCGACCACCAUCGCUCUUCUCCUUCUUUUCUUCUCCGAUCCACGGUCAAUGCCCCUAUUUUUCUUCCUUCUCUUUCAGUUUUCUCUUUCGUUCAAACCACUGCCGACUGUCUCUACUUCCGACGAAGCCAAGAUCCCGUCGAGUCCAAGCUUCGUCCACGCAAGCACACCGACGUCCGAUCUCUUAUCAUCGUCCCAUCGCCGCUGCACCGUUCGCCUGAAGUCAUCGUCCGUCCAGUUUGCACAGCCGAGCCGCGACUCCUUCGUGCGCAUAGUCCUACAGCCGAGCCAUUCGUUCCCCAUAGAAACCACCCGUGAGUCGCACGUCGUUUGUCCAAGCCGGCUUUCACUCCACUUUGUUGCACGAUCUUUCGUUUAGGUUCGAUAAUUACUGCCUCAUUCCCACUGUAAUGUCGAAAUUGUUUUGUUGGUAACAAAUUAAGUUUGGGUUAUGAUUAUUACAAGUUGUUCAAACGUUACGUUUGGGAUAAUUGGCUAAAUUGUUAACUUAUUUUUUAAGGUGUUGAAAGUAACGUUUUGUCCUUGUAUUCAUAACCAAUUUGUGAAUUUUUGGAGUUCGGCUCGCCAAUACUUGGUAAGCUAGAAUCUACCUCGAGGAGAAAUUAAGUGGGAGUAUUUAUUGUGGAAAUAAUUGAGUUUCAUAUCCUUAUGGUUAGGUGUUUUUUGUUGGAUAUAGUUGCUCGGGAGACCUGAGUAACUUUGAGGCAAAAGUAACAAUGGUGGCAAACCGACGAGGGGUAGGAAGGAAGUGUGAUUGUCAUAGGGAAUAUUUUAAUUUUCUUUUGCUUUAUGUUUUUCUUUCUUCCCUUAGUACAUGAGUUUGUUUAAAAUAUUUUGUGAUGAAACUGAGUUUACGAAAUGUUAUUUUGUGAACAAUAUUUUUAAAGUUUUAUUUAUUUGAAAUAGGGCCUCAACUUAA